CCUACGGGAGACAGCAGUAGGGAAUAUUGCUCAAUGGGGGAAACCCUGAAGCAGCAACGCCGCGUGGAGGAUGAAGGUUUUCGGAUUGUAAACCACUGUCCCCAGGGACGAAAAUGACGGUACCUGGGGAGGAAGCUCCGGCUAACUACGUGCCAGCAGCCGCGGUAAUACGUAGGGAGCAAGCGUUGUCCGGAAUUACUGGGUGUAAAGGGAGCGUAGGCGGGGAUGCAAGUUGGGUGUCAAAACUACCGGCUCAACCGAUAGUCGCACUCAAAACUGCAGCUCUUGAGUGAAGUAGAGGCAGGCGGAAUUCCUAGUGUAGCGGUGAAAUGCGUAGAUAUUAGGAGGAACACCAGUGGCGAAGGCGGCCUGCUGGGCUUUUACUGACGCUGAGGCUCGAAAGUGUGGGGAGCAAACAGGAUUAGAUACCCCGGUAGUC
rnacentral:rRNA from 1 species